GUAGGUGGCAAGCGUUGUCCGGAAUUAUUGGGCGUAAAGCGCGCGCAGGCGGUUCUUUAAGUCUGAUGUGAAAGCCCACGGGCUCAACCGUGGAGGGUCAUUGGAAACUGGAGAACUUGAGUACAGAAGAGGAAAGCGGAAUUCCACGUGUAGCGGUGAAAUGCGUAGAGAUGUGGAGGAACACCAGUGGCGAAGGCGGCUUUCUGGUCUGUAACUGACGCUGAGGCGCGAAAGCGUGGGGAGCAACCAGGAUUAGAUACCCUGGUAGUCCACGCCGUAAACGAUGAGUGCUAAGUGGUUAGGGGGUUUCCGCCCCUUAGUGCUGCAGCUAACGCAUUAAGCACUCCGCCGUGGGGAGUACGGCCGCAAGGCUG
rnacentral:rRNA from 1 species